UUUGGGUGUUGCACUUCCUGGCGGGACUUCAGUGAUCGCGGACGCUGGGUCUUGAGCGGUGGGCAUGGUGUUCUGUCUCCAGGAUGUGGAGAGAUGCACAGCUGGAGGUGCGACUCGGUCUCUUCUUUUCCUAAAAGAUGCAGAGACGGAGGGACUGAGGGAACAUGGUGCACUGACUCAGAGGUGGACGGGCGGGGGUGAUAAGGUUUGACCAGGUUCUGGAUGAGGGAAGGGGCUGAGCCCAUCGCAGCUAUACUCUUAAUAAACAAUGAACCAGUUCUAUUUGUGAUAUGAAUGAGUCAUAUCAGAUUGUUGUAUGUGGUCGGACCGGUUGGACCGUGGAUCCUCGAUAAACAGUCAAAUCAUUUUUCAGUUGAUUACCGAAGUGACAGCAGAGUUCUGACGGCAGGAUGACGGAGGUCAAGGCUCCGCUGGUUCUGCUGAUCCUGAACGUGUGGACUUUCACCAGUGCAGCGCAGCUUUUGGCUUUUUUAAAAUCAAACCAGCUCUGACAAACCCACGGUUCGAUUCCCGACGUGACAAAACACAAGACAGACACAGAGAAGCACCGGCCGGUGGAACACAGACGAGCGCUGCGUCUUACCCUGCACUUUCACGCCUGGCAGGGAAGCGGAAAUCCACUGGUAUCACUUGAAGGAGGGAAUCAUUCUCGUCCACUCCUACUAUAAGGACCAGGACCAGUUGUCACGCCAGAACCAGCGCUUCAGAGGCAGGACAUCGCUGUUCAGAGACAAGGUCUCCGGCGGCAACACCUCGCUCCAGCUGACGGGGCUGCAGCUUCAGGACCAGGGCAGGUACAAGUGCCUCACCAGCACCAUCGGUGGAGGCUACAAGGAGUCGAUCAUCAACCUAAACGCAGCGGACACAUUUAAAUCUCUGAACACUUCAGAUGAUGUUGCACUAAUCGGAGGGGUCGUGCUCGUUUUGAUUAUAGCAGCAUUAGUGGUUGUCGUGGCAAUCGUCUACAAAAGAAGAAAAAGGUUGUGUAUGAUGGAUGAAGAAGAGUGAAUAUGGGAGAUGAGGAGUUUGAGCUUCACGUGUUUCAGGACUGAAUUCUGUUAAAGUCUGUUUAUGCUUCCGGAACUUCCACCGGCGAGAACAGCACCAAUCCGCCAUCGUUUGAAUUAGUACGUCUAUGUACCUCACCACUAGUAAACACGCCUGGCAUGUAGCUCGCUCACUUAGCUGAGCUUUGGCUCGUUGGUGGUAACAACUGACACGAUCCAGAUCAUGAUGAGGUUCAGAACAGGACACGCGACCUCGUCAGGCGUCUCUCAUCACACAGAGGCCACAAACUGUCCUAACAUGGAUGAUGCUUCCUGUUCUUUACGACACUCUUCUUCUGUGGUUUACGACGCGUCGCUCUCUACCGCCAUCUGUCACUACACGACCGUCAGAAGAGGCCAAUUGUGGAUUAAACGCGAGUCGACCCAGGUUGUUCCAGAGAGGGGGGGCCUGGAGGGACAAGGCCCGGUUCCCCUCGGCCCUCAGCUGGGACUGUGGAAUAUGGUCCACUGACUGUGGACGAGCAACGUGGAGACAAAGACAAAUCUCAUCUCAUGGUUUUCAUGUUUCAAUAUUUUGUUCAUGUCAUGUUAUCAGACCAUGAAACAAACUUUCAGUGUCUGUGAGUUGGAUCAUGAAAGUUCAUCUGGAGUUUCACUUUUCUAAACCUCCAUGUUCUCAACUUUCUUCAGCUCUGAACAGACGAUGAAACACUGAACGGUUUCAAGCAGAAACUUUGUUUUCUAAAGUCUCGUGUUUUAUUAUUUUCUAAAGUCUCAUGUUUUAUU